rnacentral:rRNA from 1 species
UACGGAGGGUGCAAGCGUUAUCCGGAUUUACUGGGUUUAAAGGGUGCGUAGGUGGGUAAGUAAGUCAGUGGUGAAAUCUCCGAGCUUAACUCGGAAACUGCCAUUGAUACUAUUUAUCUUGAAUAUCCUGGAGGUGAGCGGAAUAUGUCAUGUAGCGGUGAAAAUGCUUAGAUAUGACAUAGAACACCAAUUGCGAAGGCAGCUCACUACGGGGUCAUUGACACUGAGGCACGAAAGCGUGGGGAUCAAACAGG